rnacentral:rRNA from 1 species
UACGUAGGGGGCAAGCGUUGUCCGGAUUUAUUGGGCGUAAAGAGCGUGUAGGCGGCCAUACAGGUCAGCUGUGAAAACUCGAGGCUCAACCUCGAGACGUCGGUUGAAACCGUAUGGCUAGAGUCCGGAAGAGGAGAGUGGAAUUCCCGGUGUAGCGGUGAAAUGCGCAGAUAUCGGGAAGAACACCUAUGGCGAAGGCAGCUCUCUGGGGACGGUACUGACGCUGAGACGCGAAAGCGUGGGGAGCAAACAGG